GAUAUAGACGAAGUUGACGGCCGACCCGACUGACGGUGACGGUCUGCAAACCCGUGUAAAGAUCGAAACAGGUUUUGCAAUGCAUCACGGUCAGUUGGGCGAGCCACGUAGAAGAAACGACGCUG
rnacentral:precursor_RNA from 10 species